GGAGAGGUGGCAGAGUGGCCGAAUGCGGCAGCUUGCUAAGCUGUUGUCGGGAAACAUUCCUGACCGAGGGUUCGAAUCCCUCCCUCUCCGCCA
rnacentral:tRNA from 1 species